rnacentral:rRNA from 1 species
UGUAUCGGCGGACCAGAGGCGUGGGGAUUAGGAGGGGUGAAAGGGUUAUACGGGAUUACUGGGCGUAAAGGGCGCGUGGGUGGUUUUGUAAGUUGGAGGUGAAAUCCCCGGGCUCGACCUGUGAACUGCCUCCAAAACGGCAUGACUAGAGUACGGUAGAGGGUGGUGGAAUUUCCUGUGUAGCGGUGAAAUGCGUAGAUAUAGGAAGGAACACCAGUGGCGAAGGCGACCACCUGGACUGAUACUGACACUGAGGUGCGAAAGCGUGGGGAGCAAACAGGAUUAGAUACCCGAGUAGUC